GAUUGAUUUCUGGGUCUUCUUUCUCCUAAUUGAUUGGAUAUUUCUUUGAAGUGUUGUUUUUGGUAGUUGAAGUUUUAGGAUCACCCACAUGUUUUCAAAGUUGCAUAUUUCUUGUUAGAUGCAACUGAUGAGCCACCUCUAGUUCUACAAGUUUCACACUUUCUUCAUCUUUAAUUUCCUCUUACCUAUCUCUUUCUCUAUCUUCUCCAUUGGAGUUUAUAGUAUUCUGGUGAGUAUUUUGUGUUUGGUAUUUUCCUUUGUUUGUCCUUUCUUAUUUCUUUAUCAAUCUUUUUUUGGUUUUCUAUUUUGUUCGUUUGUAUUGUUAAAUUAUCUUUCGGGUCUUCUGUGUACAUGCAGCUAUGGAUACACUCUCCAAAAUACACGUGCAUCCUGAUAAAAUCCAAAAGCCUAAGGACAGAAUGAAGAGAAUAUUUCUGGUGAGAAUGUAAACCGUUGGUUCAAAUCAGCUAAUCCAAACGGGCUCUUAGACUAUUGAUUUGGAAUCUUCAUUUACCUAUAAAGUUACAUUUGCAUUUGAUCUUUAUUUUUCUUUUUAAUGCAAUGUAUAAGUGGAUUUUUGGUCUACAACUACAAGUGUUUAAUUUUUCCUCCUUUUUAAAAAUUUUCUGGGUAGAUUCUACUAAGUUUCCCUCUCAAUAGAAAUGCUAAUUUAAAGGGAAGAACUUUGUUGCACUUAAGGUGUUCGACGAUAUGAUUAAAAAAACUGAGUAAUAUUCUACCAUUUCUUUUCCCAUAGGUGAAUUUAUCACAAGUAUCUAUCCUUUUGUAAGGCCAGAAAUUUUGAUUGCACAAAUAUAGGUCAUUUGAAAGAUGUUUCGGUAACUGUAGGUAUGGUAGUGAAAUAUUUAGCAUAUCCUUUACUGGGAUGUGUUGGAAAAUUCAUUUGUAUCUAAAAAGAUGAAGCCUUUUCAUGAAAGAAAAUGAAUAUGGAUAAUUCUCUAAUGGUGCCCUGCAUUUUGACUGUGCUGCAAUUAGUAAUAUUAAUUUGUCAGGAAUUCAUCAUUAGCAGAAAGCUCUCAUUUUAGUUGUUUAUCUGGAGUAUCUAUUUAUAUGAUAAGGUAUACACGAUUAAUUACAUUAAUUUUCUCUUCUUUUCAUUUGAUAUCUAGGUCAAUAUAAAUGUGUAUACACACAAACCUUCUUAUAUAUUUGUCACCCUAACGGUGUUUAAAUGCAGUACUUGUCAUAACUUUGAACUCCUUGUUUGCCUUUAUUUUAUUGUAUAAAUGAAAUAUGUUUUUUUGUACUGGUUUUUCUUCAUGAAAUGUGGCUUCUAAAACUAGGUUGUUUUAGUAUAUUAUAACGCAAGGUGGACUCAUUGACUCCCCAGUAGUUUAUGCAGCACCAAGGUAAUAUUAUGUUUUGGUGUCAUUCAGAUGCAUGGUCUGUUUGAUAGUGAACUGCGGACAGCUCAUAUUAAGAGGUAAGAGAAAGAAGUUUUUGCUUCCUUAAUAAACUAUAAGAGUUCUUCCGGUUACUUUAAUUUUGAUAUUAAUGGUCAUAAUAUUGUAUUUACUGCGAUUUCGAUAUCUAUAGUAUAUAAAAGGAGUGGAUGGUUCCUACUGGUUUCUGAAACAUUGGUGUAUAUUCAUGAGAAAAUGGCUGCAAGAAAACAUAAACGUAGCUUGAGAGAACUUUGUUAUAAAAAAAGCUUUUUGGAUGUUUGAGUAAUAAAGUGAUCUUUUCUUUUCCAUUUUCAAUGUAAUUGUUUCUUCUAGGAUAAUUAUGUAUUACAUAUACUUCUGAUAUUGAGUAUUUUAAGUUUUCAUAUUAAAGAGUUAUGUACAUAAAGAAUCUCCUUUAUUGUCGACAAGUUUGACUGACUGUUAGCUUUCCAAAAGCAAAGGUGAUUAGGUUGCAGGGUACAUGAAUGUAUUAGUCUAUGGUUAGAUAUUUAUCCUUUUUAAGGUUCUCAAAAAUGAAAGACUGCCGUAAAUCCUUUACAAAGUCCAGGUAAAUGCUUCAUCCCAGUGAAAAAGCACAUGAAGAAACUGAAGUCUCAAUUUGACUUGUCAGGCAGUUUGAAAUUAUCGAAAUAUUAUUUUCUGCAGGAAUGAACUAUUAAUAUUGUAGAUGAAUUUUUGUUAUGCUCGCAAACUUUUCAUGAUCAUGAUUGUGCCAUUUUUAAAACAUAGAGAAAAUGAAUACUGGUAAAGCUGAAACUGAAAAUUACCUGGGUAAUUCUGCUAUUACUUACACUUUGUGAUUUAGUUUUGACAUUCUUAUCAAUAAGAAUCUCUUUGUGCCUCAUUAGUCUCUGGCCUUGCCAUUAGUUGGAGCAAUCCUCUCCAUAACGUAUUAUAUUUGCAGUUGCAAGUAAUAAUAUGUUUGAACUGUAGCCUGCCAGGAUAUUAGACACUUCAAUUUAUCUAAGUUAUUCUUUACCGAAUGUAGGUAUAGCGUUUAUGUGCUAGCUUCUAUCUCCUAACUCCUCAUUGGAGGACCUUAAAUAGCCUUAAGAGGUGAGUAUAUAACAAAAGCAGACAGACAAUGGAGAAUUAUUUUGGGAUAAAAUCUCCAUGUAAUGUAGUUUCAUUCUGUUUUACUCAUAUCUUUCCCCGGUAAUAUUUGUCUUCUGUAGUAAUAUUCGCCUUGUGUAGUAAGUAAUUUGCUCUUUCUAAUAUGAUUCAAUUAAAAUGCUCACUUACAAAUAUUCCUUCUAAUAGCCAUAGGAUAUAUCUAUAUAGAUACUUACAACUCUAUGCAAAAGGCUGCUCUGUUGUUUCCAAAGUAGUAGUGCUUAACAUAUUUUUUCUAAAAAGCAAAUUUUUGACCAGUGAUCUCUGGUAUCGGUGGUUCAUGCUAUAGUAUUAAGAUGUUAUCGGAUGCAAGAUAUCAAGCUCCUUAUACAUGGUAAGUAAAAGGUAGAAAUGCCAUGGGUUUACUUUAUGCUUCUUUGGGU
rnacentral:lncRNA from 1 species